AGAUUGAACGCUGGCGGCAUGGCUAAAGCAUGCAAGUCGAACGAGACCCGCAAGGGAAAAGUGGCGAAAGGGUCAGUAAUACGAUCGAACGUACCCUGAGGUGGAGGAUAGGCACGGGAAACUGUGCGUAAUACUCCAUGUGCACCAAGGUGGAAAGCCGCAAGGCGCCUUUGGAGCGGCGAUCGUCCUAUCAGCUAGUUGGUGAGGUAAUGGCUCACCAAGGCGAAGACGGGUAGCGGGUGUGAGAGCACGACCCGCGACAUCGGGACUGAGACACUGCCCGGACUCCUACGGGAGGCUGCAGCGACGAAUCUUCCGCAAUGGGCGAAAGCCUGACCGGAGCAAUGCCGCGUGC
rnacentral:rRNA from 1 species